AAGUAUCUGAUAUCGGUAUCUGCCAAAAAUAUCAUAUCAGUGCGUAAUCUCAACUCAUGCUAUGUAUUCCAGAGCACUCGGGUCAUGUGGACUCCACCGCUGAGGGAGAGCUUCUCCUAUCCCUUCUUUGUCCUGCAGAUGCUGCUGUGAACAGGCAUUCCAACCGGAAGAUCCCUAGUAAUUUUUGGUGCUUUCAAUGUGUUGUUCCUUCCUCCUUGGCCAUUUGCCCAAUUUGUUUUGCUAACUCAGUUCUGCGAUCUGGGACGUGGAGGAUCAGGAGAACGGGAAAGUUGCCGCUAUGUACCCUCCUGUCCAUCAACUUCCGACCUCACUUCACCACAAUGUUCCAGAACAAAGUCUACAAAGUGCUGAAAAUCCCCAAAGCUGCCAAAUAUGACUUUUUAAU